rnacentral:rRNA from 1 species
GGCCUUUUGAUAAUAAUUUAAGGUCUGACCUGCCCAAUGAUUGAAGUAUUAAAUGGCCGCGGUAUUUUGACCGUGCAAAGGUAGCAUAAUCAUUAGUUUUUUAAUUGAAAGCUUGCAUGAAGGGUUUAAUGAGAAAAUAGCUGUCUCUGUUUAAAUUUUUUAGAAAUUUAUUUUUAAGUUAAAAAGCUUAAAUAAACAUUAAAGACGAGAAGACCCUAUAGAGUUUUAUAAUUUUAUGUAAUUGUUAUAAUUUAGUAUUUUUUAAUGAUUUUUUUAGAGUUAUUUAGUUGGGGUGAUUGGAAAAUUGAUUAAACUUUUUUAUUUAAAAUUUCAUUGAUUUGUGGGUUUUUGAUCCUUAUUAAAGAUUAUUAGAUAAAAUUACCUUAGGGAUAACAGCGUAAUUUUUUUUAGAGUUCUUAUCGAAUAAAAAGGUUGCGACCUCGAUGUUGGAUUAAAAUUAAUUACUGGUGUAGAAGCUAGUAAGUUAGGUCUGUUCGACCAUUAGAUUUUUACAUGAUCUGAGUUUAAACCGGUGUGAG